rnacentral:rRNA from 11 species
UUUAGUGAUACCAUCACAGCAUUCUGAAUCCAGCCAACCUGAUCUGAUUUUGGGAGUUAAGCAUGGUCAGAUCUGAUUAGUACUUGGAAGCGAGACUGCCAGUGAAUAUCAUAGAUUUCCAGAU